GGUUGGGGAUGGACUCGCGGCCUAUCAGCUUGUUGGUGAGGUAAUGGCUCACCAAGGCGACGACGGGUAGCCGGCCUGAGAGGGUGACCGGCCACACUGGGACUGAGACACGGCCCAGACUCCUACGGGAGGCAGCAGUGGGGAAUAUUGCACAAUGGGCGAAAGCCUGAUGCAGCAACGCCGCGUGAGGGAUGACGGCCUUCGGGUUGUAAACCUCUUUUAGUAGGGAAGAAGCGAAAGUGACGGUACCUGCAGAAAAAGCACCGGCUAACUACGUGCCAGCAGCCGCGGUAAUACGUAGGGUGCAAGCGUUGUCCGGAAUUAUUGGGCGUAAAGAGCUCGUAGGCGGUUUGUCGCGUCUGCUGUGAAAUCCCGAGGCUCAACCUCGGGCUUGCAGUGGGUACGGGCAGACUAGAGUGCGGUAGGGGAGAUUGGAAUUCCUGGUGUAGCGGUGGAAUGCGCAGAUAUCAGGAGGAACACCGAUGGCGAAGGCAGAUCUCUGGGCCGUAACUGACGCUGAGGAGCGAAAGCGUGGGGAGCGAACAGGAUUAGAUACCCUGGUAGUCCACGCCGUAAACGUUGGGCGCUAGAUGUAGGGACCUUUCCACGGUUUCUGUGUCGUAGC
rnacentral:rRNA from 1 species